ensembl:lncRNA LINC02970 long intergenic non-protein coding RNA 2970
ACAGACAACUACUGAGGACCUGCAAAGUAAGGAGACUGCAGGGCGGAGGCGGAACUUGGAGGAGUGACCUGCCGUGGAGUUUCUGGUUUCCUCCUUGUGGCUUUGUCUGGAGGGCAAGCCCCACUCUCAGAUCCACAUGGCAACACAAGCAGCUAAAACGCAGAUAGAAACCCCAACCUGGGAAAAGGAGUCCUACAGUCUCACAGUGCCACCCAGCAGUGCCAACCCAGCAAAGGUCUUGAGAACCACACUGAGAGAGGUGGGGUUUGGGAUGAACCUGGCUGCUAAAGUGGAAACAGCAACGUUCCCCGAGGGCUAGGACAGCACCCAGAGUCCACACGGUGUGCUCAGACGUAAAACAAAAUUACUCAAUAGACACAAAACUAGGAAGGUGUGAUCAUCCUCAAGAGAACAGACAAUGCUCAGAUGCCAGCCCCAACUGACACAGAUGCCUACAGCAGCCGCGGUAACUGCUUUGCGAGUUGCACGCAUACACAGCACACGCACACACACCUCAGAAAGGAGCAUUAGAUGAAAUGAAUAAUAAACCUCACAGAGAGGUAGGAAAAAAAAUAAACAAAUGAGUAUUUUUGAACUAAAAGAAUAGAGUAUCUGCAAUUAAAAUUGUACUGAUGGACUCAAUAGCAGAAUGGAGACAAAGGAAAGCCAGCGAACGUGAAGACAGAUAAAUAGAAAAUAUCCACUCCGAAGAACGAAGAUAAAGAGGAAAAACAAGAACAAGCAUCACGGGCCAGCUGGGGUCGUAUCGAAAGGCCCAGCACAUACCUGGUUCCAGAAAGCAAGGAGGAGGUUGGGGCAGAAAGUUAUUUGAAGGAAUAUUGGCUGAAACAUCCCAAGUCUGGUGAAAUACAUAAAUGUAAGCAUUCAAGAAGCUCAGUGAACCCCAAAGAAGAUAAACAGAAAGGAAAAUAGACCCAGACAUAGCAUCAUCAAAUUGCUGAAAACUGAAGAAAACAUCUGGAAAGCAGCUAGAGAAAAACAACACAUUUCGUACACAAAAGCAGUGACUCCAGUGACUACAGAAUUCUUGCCAGAAACCACGGCAGCCAGGAGACAGCAGAACGAUGUCUUUAAUGCAUGAAAGGAAAGGUUUCUCCUUGCAAGGUGUUUGUUCAUUUCUUCCAAGUUGUGGAAUAUAUGGGCAGAAGAUUGGACACCAUCCCCCUCGACUCUUUUUUCCCAUCUGUAGGGUCUGCGGUGAUGUCCUUUUUAGCCUCCAUGUUUGUAAUGAGGGUCUCUUUGUUUUGGGGUCAGUCUGGCCAGCAGCUUAUCAAUUGUAUUGAUCUUUUCAAAGAAUCAGCUUGGGUUUCAUUUAUUUUCUCUAUUUUCUGUUUUUGUUUUUUGUUCAGCUGAUUUCCACCCUGAUCUUUAUUACCUUCUACUUUCCGCAUGCGUUUUGUAAUUUAUUUUUCCCUUACUAGUUUCUCCAGGUGAAAGCUCCUAUCAUAGUUGGCAAGGGUUUUCUGUAAAGGGCUAGAGAGUAAAUAUGUUUGGUUUUGUGAGCCACGUGGUGUCUGUUGCAACCACUCAACUGCUGUUGUAGCGUGAAAGCAGCAACAGAAAACACAUAAAAUACCAAGUUGUUCUC